rnacentral:misc_RNA from 1 species
UGGAAAGGAGAAACGUCUGAAGAGACAAGACCUUCUCAACUUCUCCAGAACUAAUGAUCAUCGCCAAGGCCAAUAUAAUUGUUAUUGAUUAAAAGUUUCAGAGGUAGAGAGAGACCCUUCUUCACAAAGCUUCGGCCUCCGUUGCAGCUCUCAUGGCGGCACCAACCACACCACAAAUAUGCAACGUGUCUUGCAAGCAAAACCAGCAUCUAAAGCCCGCUCGCAGCAGCCACCGCUGCAUUUCGCAGCCUUUCUGUCAUACACUUGCUAAAAUCUGCGCCCUCCACGGCCACCUCUAAGCAUGUAAUGUACCGUGCCAAGCUGAAUUCCGUGCUAUGAGAGUUUGUCAGGUCCUUGAGAUGGGAUCACUCAAGAUGGCUGGAAAAGCACCCGGUGCUGCUGCGCUGCCAGAGUCCUCAUGUGCCUACUUGCUUCAAGAACUAAAGAUGAUAUGGGAUGAAGUUGGGCAAGACCAAAGUGAAAGGGAAAGGAUACUGGGAGAGCUCGAGCAAGAAUGCCAGGAAGUUUACAGAAGCAAAGUAAAUAGCGCCAACAUGUCUCGGAUUCAGCUGCACCAAGCGUUAGCUGAAUCUGAGGCUGAAUUUACCAACCUGCUGCUGUCCCUUGGGGAAAGAUCAUUCCCAGCACGACCCGAGAAAAUGGCAGGCACUCUGAAGGACCAGACCUAAAUUCCAUUACACCCGCCCUACAAGAAAUGCAGAUGAGGAAGGAGGCCAGUGAAGCAGUUCAUGGAGGUUCGAACUGAAAUACACAGGAUUGCUUCUGAAAUUGCAGGACGCUUAGGGAACGAAGCUGUCGCUGUGGAUGAAGAAGAUCUGUCACUAAAGAGACUCCAGGAGUUCCAAAGCGAACUGCAAAGACUGAAAAGAGAAAAGAGUGAUCGCCUCUGCAAAGUGGAAGAAUACAAAGCUCUAGUUGACAAUUUUGCAAAAGUAAUGGUAAUGGAGCCUUCAAAUAUACUUGCUAAUGUUCACCCCAGGUAGCUAGAUGGACCAAAUGAGCAGCAGACGAUGAAUAUCAAUGAUGACAUCCUCAGCAAGCUCAAUAUGACUGUUCAGCAGCUAAAAGAAGAGGAGCAAUAGAAGGGAAAAGGUGAUUUGUCAUCCUUCUGGUACCAACACUGUAGCCGGUAGCCACAUUUCACAUGAUCCGGUCAUUCUCACAGUGGCAGCAUAAAGAAAAGAUGGUACAUUCAGGUUCUCAGAAAGAAGAAUACAGUAGGGAAAGGCCCUGGUAAAAAUACAACAGAAAUGUCUACAAAAGCCUAUUCAGCAAAGGAGACUAUUGCUAUGAGAGCUGCAUAUCAGUUCAUUAAAAGGAGGACGAAAAGAAAGAAAUUACACACGCCCGGCCAAAGGCUAAGGCACACAGACACACACACUACCCACUAGGUUGGACUACAUAGAGCCGGUUAGGAAAAACCAGUAACAGCAGCCAGCAACCUGACGACUAUGAGGUAAAAAACCUACAUCAUCCACAUCCUGCGCCAACUGGAGCUGGAUGCCUUUAGCACCAGCCUUGCGCCAACACCAGGCCUCCUCUCCAGCAUUGGAGAGAGCAGUAGAGAGAUGGGGAGUUGCACCGUUGAAGAUAAUAUCAUUCCUGUGUUUCCACAAGGUCCAGGCCCUCCCUCCAUUCCAACAUGUAAGUCGUUAUGGUUUUUCUAGAUACAUCGCUUUUACAGUUUUACUAUGUAUUUCGACAUAAUGAUGCGGACAGGUGGCUAGACGGGAAUUCUAUUUCUGCUUUGGCAACAGACCUGGUGGCUGCGGUAUCCAAGCGUUCAGUUGGGAAGAGAACUGUGCAGGAGGCCCUUGCAAACCUCCAAUGGGUCUGGGACAUAGAGGGUCAGUUAUCAGUUCAAGUUCUGAGAGACUUUUGGUGGCUGUGGGACUUGUUGGAUGGAUUCCAUCUCAUGCCGGGGGUUCCUGGUCAGCAUUCUUGGACCUUGAAAGCUUCUGGUGUUUAUUCAUCUAAAUCAGCCUACAAUGCUUUCUUCAUGGGGGCAGUCCUUUUUGAGCCUGCUGAUCGGAUUUGGCACAGCUGGGCCCCACCUAGAUGCAAGUUUUUCAUGUGGUUGGCUGCGUGGAACAGAUGUUGGACGGCGGACAGACUGGCCCACAAGGGUUUGGAUCAUCUGGAGCUAUGUUCACUUUGUGAUCAGGAGGAAGAAAAUAUUAACCACUUAUUGGUCAAUUGUGUCUUUGCUAGAAGUGUAUGGUUUGCGGUGCUUAGCUCGGUGAAUCUUCAUUCCUUGGCUCCAGAUUUCCAAGAUUACAAGCUGCAGGACUGGUGGAGCAGGGCUGAGAAAAGAGUCCAAAAACAGCAUAAAAAGGGUUUCAACUCCCUUGUGAUUUUAGUAGCUUGGUGCAUCUGGAAACAUAGCAAUGCUUGCAUUUUUUAUGGCACCCCCCCUAGUGUCCCUACAUGUCUCCAGCUUAUUAAGGAAGAGGCUGCUAUCUGGUGCAAAGCUGGUGCAGCAGGGUUGCGUGUUUUUUGGCCCCAUUAGUUGGUUGCUGUCUCAUAUUUGUAAUAAGAAGAAAAUCUAGGUUUUGAGGCUGCCUCUAUAAGGGACAGUUUUUUUGUGCUCGGUCUAUUUUAGACCUUCCCUUCUUAAUAUAAUGAUGCGCAGCUCUCGUGUGUAUUCGAGAAAAACAUAUUGUAUAUCUUGGUGCAUAGCAAAAUCUAUGUAUCUCAAUU